GUACCAGUAGCCAAUCGGAUACGGCAAUGGCCUCCGGAGCCAUGACGGGCGGUUCGACUCCGCCCUGGUACG
rnacentral:tRNA from 17 species